GUGGGGAAUAUUGGACAAUGGGCGCAAGCCUGAUCCAGCCAUGCCGCGUGUGUGAAGAAGGCCUUUUGGUUGUAAAGCACUUUAAGCGAGGAGGAGGCUCCUUUAGUUAAUACCUAAAGAGAGUGGACGUUACUCGCAGAAUAAGCACCGGCUAACUCUGUGCCAGCAGCCGCGGUAAUACAGAGGGUGCGAGCGUUAAUCGGAUUUACUGGGCGUAAAGCGUGCGUAGGCGGCUUUUUAAGUCGGAUGUGAAAUCCCUGAGCUUAACUUAGGAAUUGCAUUCGAUACUGGUUGGCUAGAGUAUGGGAGAGGAUGGUAGAAUUCCAGGUGUAGCGGUGAAAUGCGUAGAGAUCUGGAGGAAUACCGAUGGCGAAGGCAGCCAUCUGGCCUAAUACUGACACUGAGGUGCGAAAGCAUGGGGAGCAAACAGGAUUAGAUACCCUAGUAGUCC
rnacentral:rRNA from 1 species